CAGAUGUGACUCUUUACCCUGCAAACCUACACCGUGACGGCUGAGGAGGAAGAGAAAAAAAAGGCAAAUUCUUCCAAACCCACACUCACACAGACACAGGAGCUAAGGAGAAGCCACAGACAGUAUUACCAGUCCUAGGACAAAACUUUUGUAGACAGCCAAGUUUUCAGCGCAGCCACUCUGUCUUUCUCUGCCUUUUUGGCUCCUUUUAGCCCAUCUCACCCUAACCAGGUUCGGUUUUCUAUUUUUGUAGUGUACUGUUAGUUUUCCUUCUCAGCCUCCCUCUUCUCAGAUAAGUGUCUGGACUAGCUGUACUGCUGAUAAGGAAGAAAACAGCAGCUCAAGGAAAAAGGGGGGAAAAGAUCAGCGCCUCUAUGUGAGAGUGUCUGUCCCUGCAACUGAACAGGCAGAAGGCUUCAAGAUUUCAUGUCAACCCAUCCACAGCCCCUAGUAACAGUCUUAUGACUCCAGAAACUUUACAGUGGCUCACACAGAUCUGAAAAAUAGGAGCUCAGCAGGCAUGUGCCAGUGGGUAAAAACAGAUAAAAAUCAUUUGGGGAACCUGUGCCAGAGCAUAAACUAUCCCUUCAUUUAGAUGUAAGUGGCAGACGAGGGCUCUAUUCUUCCAGAUCCUUUUUAAGUCACACUAGGUAGAAGUCAUUGCUUCCCUCCCAUUUAAACCCCCCCCCUCUCUUACUUUCUCUCUCUCUCUCAACUAUCAUGCGCUUAGAGGGAUUCAGAUUUUUCUGAAACUAUUUUUUUUCAUUCCUUUUAUAUACAUCUUCUGUUUUUUUGGCCAAUGAAGAUCGGGUCUCCCGUUAAGAGCCAUAACAACGUUUGUAGGUUCCAGCAAGCUGUCGCCUCAACUAAAUUGAAGAUAACCGAGAAAGUCAGUGAAAGGAUAGUUAGAAAAGUUUGCAACAGGCACUGACAGAACUCUGCUUGCCUGAGCUACCGAGACGAAAACUAACAGGAGGGGUGUGCAAGAGGGAAGCAGCAUGCCACCCAGGACCCAAACUGUGCACCUUUAUCUGGCUAUGAUGCAUGGCUGAACCAAAGUGGACAGGAAAGCAACCUUCCCAUCACAUUCUAAUGCUACACCUUACAUGUACUAUUCCUAUGCAGAAGCAUGUCUGUUGCUUAAUAAAGAUGUCAAACAUCCAAGGCUAUGGUCUCCAUGCUGAAAAAGUAUUCCCAUUUUGAAAGCAUGAUUUGUGGUUGUAGACACACCAUACUGCAAAAUCACCUGGCCUUCAAAUUUUGCAGGUAAGUUGCAGACCAUACCAUCUGCCCUAUGGUUUAUUAGUAAUGCUAAUGAUUGGGGUGGCUGCAUGCUUAUCUGACUGAUGUCAGAUAUCAAAUAUGCUGGAAAAAAUAUCUCUUUAGUUGAAGGCAACAUCAUGCUCCAACAGGUUUGCACAGAUCCCCAUUAUUAUCAGAUUGUUGACCCUGGGGCCAAUGUUUGGAUCAUCCCCACAAAUGUGGCCCAUAAAUCAUUGGAAAAUGUUGCCAGAUCUCAGCUUGAUUGGUCAGCUUUAGAUACUGGAUUAUAAUGCUUUAUAAGAGUGAUUCAGUUGUGACCUCUGUAAUCCCAACCUGAAAUACUGAAGCAAGAAUGUCAGCAGUUCUAACUAAAAGGAAAUAACAGAAUAUGGAUGUUCUGAGCUUAUAAUGAGUUUCUUACACACUUUACUAUUUAAAGGGAUAC